UACGUAGGGCUCAAGCGUUGUCCGGAAUUAUUGGGCGUAAAGAGCUCGUAGGCGGUCUGUCGCGUCGGAUGUGAAAGCCCGGGGCUUAACCCCGGGUCUGCAUUCGAUACGGGCAGACUAGAGUGUGGUAGGGGAGAUCGGAAUUCCUGGUGUAGCGGUGAAAUGCGCAGAUAUCAGGAGGAACACCGGUGGCGAAGGCGGAUCUCUGGGCCAUUACUGACGCUGAGGAGCGAAAGCGUGGGGAGCGAACAGG
rnacentral:rRNA from 1 species